GGUUAUGGCUCAGUGGUAGAGUACUUGCCUAGCAUGCGUAAGGCACUGGGUUCAAUCCCCAGCACCA
rnacentral:tRNA from 1 species